UACGGAGGGUGCAAACGUUGCUCGGAAUCAUUGGGCGUAAAGCGCACGUAGGCGGCCUGUUAAGUCGGAUGUGAAAGCCCCCGGGCUCAACCCGGGAAGUGCAUACGAAACUGGCAGGCUUGAAUAUGGAAGAGGGUCGCGGAAUUCCCGGUGUAGAGGUGAAAUUCGUAGAUAUCGGGAGGAACACCAGUGGCGAAGGCGGCGCCUGGGCCAUAUUGACGCUGAGGUGCGAAAAGCGUGGGGGAGCAAACAGG
rnacentral:rRNA from 1 species